AGUAGAAGGGCAGGCUUUCUUCCAACUGAGGAAUAUUUCCAAAUUAAGAACACUAGUGUCAAAGGGUGAAUUGGAGAUGAUCAUUCAUGCUUUCAUUUCCUCACGCUUAGAUUACUGUAACUGUCUUUUUACCUGUUUGAGUAAAAAG